UUUUAUUUGAGAGUUUGAUCCUGGCUCAGGAUGAACGCUGGCGGCGUGCCUAACACAUGCAAGUUGAGCGAUUUACUUCGGUAAAGAGCGGCGGACGGGUGAGUAACGCGUGGGUAACCUACCCUGUACACACGGAUAACAUACCGAAAGGUAUGCUAAUACGGGAUAAUAUAUUUGAGAGGCAUCUCUUAAAUAUCAAAGGUGAGCCAGUACAGGAUGGACCCGCGUCUGAUUAGCUAGUUGGUAAGGUAACGGCUUACCAAGGCGACGAUCAGUAGCCGACCUGAGAGGGUGAUCGGCCACAUUGGAACUGAGACACGGUCCAAACUCCUACGGGAGGCAGCAGUGGGGAAUAUUGCACAAUGGGCGAAAGCCUGAUGCAGCAACGCCGCGUGAGUGAUGAAGGCCUUCGGGUCGUAAAACUCUGUCCUCAAGGAAGAUAAUGACGGUACUUGAGGAGGAAGCCCCGGCUAA
rnacentral:rRNA from 1 species